UCUCUUUAAGCAUGUUGUUGAGUUUACCAGUAGAAUAGACAGCUGGGAUACGCAAGAGAUGAGGGACCACUAGCACCCCCAGUGGUUGAUGUCCAUGUAGGAGUUUGUGCAGCUGAUGUGGAGAGCUUUUAGCAAAUUGACAAGCAUCUUCACCCUCUGCCCUUGAACUGAUUGCUUUUCCAAUACCACGGUUUGGAGGUCAGACCAAACAACUGACAGACCGACCGACUGAAUAGCUAAGUCCCCUCAGUCAUCAAAGGAUGGACAAAAAUACAGAAGUUAUUGUUAGGUGGGAUCGUGAUGGAGAGAUCAAUUGUGGCAAGAAACGAGAUCUUCGAUAUAACGGAAGGCUUAGGGUGGGUUCAAGAGUCACUAUGAGCUUGAUGGAUGUGGACUGGACGGGGACUGCAACGCUGACAGGAGACUCUGACUCCGAAUGUGCCUCCAUUUAUAGGUUUUGUG
rnacentral:lncRNA from 1 species